rnacentral:lncRNA from 1 species
AGAUAUUUAUGAGUGAAAAAUAUACUUCUAUAUUACUGGGGAGCUCUUAACUUCAGUCACUGAUCAUGAAUCCUAACUACUUUAGAACUAGGAAAUCAAUCACAAACUGAUUUGUAUAUUCACACAGAAAGCUAUAAUUAGGGAAUAUGUUCUUAUCCCUAGUCUUUAAGAUAAAUGUUGUCAAUAACACAGUAAGAGGAAAAAAUAAAACCAAUAUCAUUAAACUCCCUUACAAUAUAAAGCUAUGACAUGUUACUAUAAAAGACAUGUAAAUAUGCUAUGUACAUUGAUUACAGAAGGCUUAUAUGACUACUGCAUG